rnacentral:misc_RNA from 1 species
GGUCGGGGUCAAUUAAAUAAUUCGUGCAUAAUACACACACAAUCGGUACAAACCAUAGACCAAACCAGAGACAAGAUCAAGUGAUUAACGUAGCAUACGAUAGGUGCGAAUUAUCCCGAGCGUGUAUAAUGUCAUUAAGCCACGACUCGAGCACAACCCACCGCAGCAUCUCAAUCAAGUCAUCUAGACCAGACUAGGCUGUGGCGAUUAUUAGGACGGAGCCUCUGACCAGCAACCCGCGUUGAUAUACGGGUUUAAACGCCGGCAGCACUCGCCCAAUCCACGACUUAAUGUGCGUCGUGAUAGAUGAAAAG